CUCAAACAAAUACGAAACGAUAAAGUGUUAAGUGAGAAAUGGAAGGUUUCAACGUAGUGUAUAAAGGAAAAUAACUGGUUAUUGCAGUGAAACAAAACAACAAAGAGAUAGUAGUGAUCGAAAGUGAAAGUGAAACAAAUAGUGAAAAGCAACGAGAAGAAACUUUACUGAACUUACUUAAUUUACAAGAUUUGUUGACUAUCAUGUAAGUCAUCAAAUAUCCGAACACCGCUUCUCCCUAUGGGGUGCCAAAUGACACAGGGGGCACGUUUUGCAAUCAUACAGCUUCUACCCUCCUUUGAGAAUUUCAUUUUUGGAGAGAUGAUCGCGUCAAUGAUUCGUUGAGUUGAGCUAGAUUGACCCUAUUCUAGAACGACGCAAAAGGGAACCUUGUUGGUUGGAGAGUGCGAUGUACAAUCACUCCACUCGUAUGAGAAGAGGCUUCUCAUUCUCAGUACCCCGUAUUAUCAGUUGUCUCUUUCAGUUGUCAAUGUCAGUUUUUCAGUUUAAAUGUGUUUCAGUAUUCUCUUCUCAAUAAAGCAGAGGUAAACACUUAAAUCUCCAUUGGUGUAUAUUUUCCUUCAUUCCAACAGGUUAUGGGCCCAGUUGGCUUUAGUAAAUUGAAGUUGUUUUGUAUAUAUCACCUAGUUUUUGAGAGAACAUGUCAGCCAUUGCUUUUUCCACAAGAGAUGCAAGCCAUAUCAGCAAAUUUAAUGGCUCCAACUUCCCGUUUUGGAAGUUUCAGGUAUCAUUAGUAUUAAAACAACAUGAUUUAAUGGAUGUAGUAUUGGGGAAACAAGUACAACCCCAACAAGCAGUACCAGCCACUGAUGCGAACACCACUGCAAUAAACUCAUGGAACAAAAAGGACAAUUCUGCGAGUUGCUGCAUUGUGGCCACAAUUGAAGAAACAUUUCAACGAUCACUCAUCAAUUGCAAGUCAUCAAAGGAGAUGUGGGAUCGCCUAGCAGCCCAAUACGAACAAGCUGCUUCAGAAAAUAAUAUUUGUUACAGCAACGCUUUUAUAAUUAUUCCUUUAAACAAGGCCAUGAUGUGAUGACACAUAUAACAGAAAUUGAAACCUUGGCCAAUCAGUUGAGUGAUUUAGGUGAAGUUCAAACAGAAAAUCAGAUCAUCACAAAGGUGCUAUGUACUCUUCCACCAAGCUUCAGGUCAGUCGUCUCAGCAUGGGAGAACGUCGAGGAUUCAAAGAAAAAACUCUCACUACUAACUACAAGGCUUCUAAAAGAAGAAAGUCUGAAUAAGAUGCACGACAAUGGAGAAUCAGCAGAAGACAAAGCAUCCCUAGCGGAAUUUUGUCGGGUCGGAUCCCGUAUUGAACCAGUGUGCUUCACCCGUGUGAAGUGUGACACUGGUGAAACACACUGGUGUUACACCUCUUGUUCGCGUGAUAGGGCGGGUUUACACCGGUGUAAGUUAUAAAGCUUUACCCGCAAAUUUUAUAGUUAUUUUGCACCGGUAUUGUUCUAGUUAAAUAUACCCGUAUAAAGCUCAAAUUUGUCCCAGUGGACUUCUCUGAUUAUCCCUACUAUAUUAACCGGUGUAAUACACUAAUAUGUAACUGG